GACGAACCGUGCGAACGUUGUUCGGAAUUACUGGGCGUAAAGCGCGUGUAGGCUGCUUCGCAAGUCGGGUGUGAAAGCCCUGGGCUCAACCUAGGAAGUGCACUCGAAACUGCGAAGCUUGAGUCCUGGAGAGGAAGGCGGAAUUCUCGGUGUAGAGGUGAAAUUCGUAGAUAUCGAGAGGAACACCGGUGGCGAAGGCGGCCUUCUGGACAGUGACUGACGCUGAGACGCGAAAGCGUGGGGAGCAAACAGG
rnacentral:rRNA from 1 species